rnacentral:rRNA from 1 species
AGAUUAAACUGAAGAGUUUGAUCCUGGCUCAGAUUGAACGCUAGCGGGAUGCCUUACACAUGCAAGUCGAACGGCAGCACGGACUUCGGUCUGGUGGCGAGUGGCGAACGGGUGAGUAAUGUAUCGGAACGUGCCCAGUAGCGGGGGAUAACUACGCGAAAGCGUAGCUAAUACCGCAUACGCCCUACGGGGGAAAGCAGGGGGAUCGUAAGACCUUGCACUAUUGGAGCGGCCGAUAUCGGAUUAGCUAGUUGGUGGGGUAACGGCUCACCAAGGCGACGAUCCGUAGCUGGUUUGAGAGGACGACCAGCCACACUGGGACUGAGA